UACGUAGGGUGCAAGCGUUAAUCGGAAUUACUGGGCGUAAAGCGUGCGCAGGCGGCUUUGCAAGACAGAUGUGAAAUCCCCGGGCUUAACCUGGGAACUGCAUUUGUGACUGCAUGGCUGGAGUGCGGCAGAGGGGGAUGGAAUUCCGCGUGUAGCAGUGAAAUCCGUAGACAUCAGGAGGAACACCGGAGGCGAAGGCGGCUAACUGGUGGUGCAUUGACGCUGAGGUGCGAAAGCGUGGGUAGCAAACAGG
rnacentral:rRNA from 1 species